AGACGUCCUACGGGAGGCAGCAGUGGGGAAUAUUGCACAAUGGGGGAAACCCUGAUGCAGCGACGCCGCGUGGAGGAAGAAAGGUCUUCGGAUUGUAAACUCCUGUUGUUGAGGAAGAUAAUGACGGUACUCAACAAGGAAGUGACGGCUAACUACGUGC
rnacentral:rRNA from 1 species